GCCACCCGCCGGGGAGACCAUGUUCUGCCAGGCGUGCACAGGUGUGUCUGCUGGACCACGUGUCUGCGUCGUUCACAUCCCCCGCCCUUGGGGCUCUGUCUCCCCAGCGUCUCCCAUCGGCUUCCUUGCCCUGGGCCGGAACUUGAGGAGAAGAGGAAUGCUGAGUGCGACCCCAAACAGCUGGCCCUCAGCCAUGAAUCUCGUGAUCCCCACCGUGUCCAGUUGUACCGGGUGCCCUGAGUCAUUAAACCCUGCCAGCCACGCAGGAGGUGUUCUUGCUUAGCACAGAGGCGCCGAGGACCCUGGGGUAGAAACAUCCGGGUGAAACAAACAGUUUCAAGGAGGCCUGGAACUGUUGGGCGCUGGUGGCUUUGAGGGUGUCCUGUGUCCCCUGUUCUCUCACUCACAAUUUGUGCCAGAGGUGCGGCUCUGAUUUGUGGGUCCUGGAAAGGGAGAGACGUGAGCCUUCCUUAGUCUGUUGAUCAAGGGUCAUGUGACCACCCUACCCGUCUGCCCCACCAUCUUUAGGGGGACCAGGUCCUAGGGGCUUCCUGCCGCUGUUAGGGCAUCUAUCAGGGCUCUCACCCCGUGACUCAUGGCAAGACCCUCAACAGAGGGGUAGGGAAUUCUGUAGGACACGGGGUAAGAAAGGGGGCCUGGACACCUGUCACCGUGGGGUCUGUGGGACAGGGUUGGGGCCUGGACCCUGUCACCAUGGGGUCUGUAGGACGGGGCCUGGACACCUGUCACCAUGGAGUCUGUGGGAUGGGGCCUGGACACCUGUCACCAUGGGGUCUGCGGGACGGGGCCUGGACACCUGUCACCAUGGGGUCUGUGGCACAGGGAUGGGACCUGGACACCUGUCACCAUGGGGUCUGUGGGACGGGGCCUGGACAUCUGUCACCAUGGGCAUCUGUAGGAUGGAGCCUGGACACCUGCACCAUGGGGUCUGUAGGAUGGAGCCUGGACACCUGUCACCAUGGGGGUCUGUGGGACAGGGCGUGGACACCUGUCACCAUGGGCAUCUGUGGGAUGGAGCCUGGACACCUGUCACCGUGGGGUCUGUAGGAUGGAGCCGGGAUACCUCUGACCAUGGGGUCUGUAGGACGGGGCCUGGACUCCUGUCACCAUGGGGUCUGUAGGAUGGAGCCUGGAUACCUGUCACCAUGGGGUCUGUAGGAUGGGGCCCGGACACCUGUCACCAUGGGGUCUGUAGGACGUGGCCUGGACACCCGUCACCAUGGGGUCUGUGGGAUGGGGCCUGGACACCUGUCACCGUGGGGUCUGUAGGAUGGAGCCUGGACACCUGUCACCAUGGGGUCUGUAGGAUGGGGCCUGGACACCUGUCACCAUGAGGUCUGGCACAGGGACGGGGCCUGGACACCUGUCACCGUGGGGUCUGUGGGACAGGGACGGGCACGGGGCCUGGACUAAACCAAUCAUGGGAUUCAGCUGCACAGCGUUUGCCGGUCUGCACAUUCCCCCACCAUUUUUUAGGGCCUUAGUCUAAGAAUGGCAGCUUUGCUGCCCACUUGCCCUUCAGUGGUCACAUGAAGCCUCUCUUCUGGUAUCUGCUUCUUCAUUUCAUCGUCUGUUAACACAGGCACGUUCCUCUCCUGGAGAUGUGUGCAGGGCUUGGAUUCUACUUCAGACCACGAUACUAAUGUAAUAACAACAAUCAUGUCGAAUGCCCCGUGCUUCCCUGGAUUUGGGUGCCCGUCGCAGUCUGUCAGGCUCUUCCUGAACUAGUUUCCCCGUGGACCUUCCAGGGUCUGCAGACACCUCCUCUUUCAGCAGCGUGACGGCCGCCCUCUACACCUUGGAAACAGGUCAGUGGUGGGACCAUCCUGGUUUCAUCCAGUUCCCUCUGUAGUGGCUUGAAUGGUGGCUUCUCAAGAUACAUGUCCACAUCCUAAGCCCUGAAACCUGCAGCUGUGUUCCCGUUGGGACAAGGCUCAUUGCAGACGUCAUGAAGGCCCUAAGAUGAGGACACCAUCCUGGCUUAUCCAGAUGAACAAGACGUUAUGAGUUCUGUGUCGUGCAACCAGGAGACGGUGGUGUAAAAGGACAGGAGACCAGGACGUGUACGUUUGAGGUCCUCACCUCCUCGCCUGCAUCCUGCUGUGGUUGGCAGAGCUGAGACCGCAGCGUCUGGGACUGUUCAUGUGGUGGCCUGAGAGGAACAAACCAGGGCCCCUUCUGCAGGUGCGCAGACUCUGCAGGACGUCCGCUCGGAUAAGAAACAUCCUGACACCCUUCCCGGGAGAACCAUAGGGUGACAAGGAGGCUCCCGGGGACCAUGGACCAGCACGAGGAAGAGAGCUGCCAGAGGGUCAGACAUUCCUGACCCCCUUCAUCGCAGUUGCAGGAGAGGUGAUGAUUAUGGCGUGAAGCCACAAGACGAUUUGUGGGUCCUGGUGGCCUGUGGCUCAGAUCACUGUGUGAAGAUGGGGGCACGUGGUCCCAGUGGAAGACCCUGCUUAUUCAAACAGCUCACUAUUAUGUCGUGUAUAAGAGUGUCCUGGGCGGCUGUAACACAGGACCACAAACUGGGAGUCUGAAAAGAACAGAAAUUCAUCCAGCCCCAGGUCCUGGAGACCAGAUGUCUGAGGUCAAGGUGUCCCAGAGCUGUGCUCCCUUCAGAGGCUCCAGGGGAGGAUCCUUCCCACCUCUUCCAGCUUCUGGGGGCUCCAGGUAUCCCUGGGCUUGUGGCCGCAUCCCUCCCAUCGCUGCCUGUGUCUUCAUGUGGCUUCUCCUCUGUGCCUGUGUCUCUCCUAUUCUGUGUCUUAUAAGGACACUGUCAUUGGAUGUAGGGCCACCCUCAUCCAGGCGGACCUCAUCUCAGACCCUUCACUUCCAUCCGGAUAAUCAAGAAUGAUCUCUUCAUCUCAAGAUCCUUCAUUAGUUACAUCUGUCAAGAGCCUUUUGCCGACAAAGUCAUAUCCACAGGUAACAGGGUUUAGGACGUGGUCAUAUCUUUUUGGUAGAAAAUAUUCAAUCCACUGCAUGGUACAUGAACUGGAUACUUGGAAACUCAGGAAACAUCCAUUCCUUUUCUGGUGAACUGGAAAGCCGCGGAGGUCACGGCUUCUUCUAUAUGUACCCAAGGCCGCUUUCCUGGGUGAGUGACCCAUGUCACCCAUGGGACCCUGGGCUCAUAAGGACGCCUAUUGGCUUAAUGCCCUAUGACCGCCAUCUUGAAAUUCUUAACGAAGCGUGAACAAGGACCCACAUUUUCAUUUUGCCCUGGAACUGCAAAUGCGAUAGCCCUCUUUGCUCACAUUCCUUCCAACCUCAAGAAAGAGGAGCAAGUCUGCACCCAAUAAGGACACCCCCACCCCCAGCACACCCUCCAUCCAGCCACUGAUGUGUUCAAACCUACCUUUCGUGGGUGGUGAAGACCUCUCCCCAAGAUCCAGUAAGGCUGGUGGGUUUUGGCUGCACGCUGGGGGAGCCUCUGAAAACCACUAAUGCUCAGCUCCACCAUCAACAGAAUCCCCAAGUUCGUUCCUCUGGGCAACGGCAUUUCUUAGACCUCCUCAAGCCAUCCUCUUGUUCAGCCAAGUUUGAGGCCCUCUGGGCCGGGCAAACGCAGACUGAAGCUUCCAGCCCUGAGUGCCAGCCCCUCCCAGAACUGCUCAGAUGUUCUUCUAAGCCCUACAGCCCCGACUGAUGUGUUUCAGAACUAGAAUUACUUUGUAUGUUCAAACCAAGAUGGAGACAAGCCUUGUCUAAUAUUCCCGGACAGCCAGGAUGAUGUACUGCAAAGCAGGAUCUUGACUUCCAGGAGGAUCCCGACCUUGGAGCGUUUGCACAUCACUAGAGAGCCCUUUGCGGCUUGAGGUCAUGGCACACAAGCGCCAGCUACUCUUAGCGGCGUCACAAAGUCGGCUCCCAAGCACAGACUCGGGAUGGGUCCUGGCCAGUCCGACACCCUCUGUCACUCUGAGAACAAGCUUGCUGGCCCCUGAGAGAUGCUGCAGUCCCUGGGCGAAGAUAGGCUCUGAGAGCAAUUUGGACUGUGUAGGACCCUGGCCUCACAGGGCCCCUCCUCUUUGCAUGACCGGCCUUAUGUCGCUCGUCCACCAGGGGAGAGAGAGGACACAGUUCUGGAGAAGUUACCGUGUUCCCUCGACACCCGAUUGGGGAACAUUCCUCAGAGCUCAGAGACACUUCCCAGCAGCUGGAGAAGUCUCAUGGACCACUGGGUGAGUAAGGCCACGUCCAUGGCAUGGUGGGCACUGGGGAUCCUGGGUUUACACCUGUCGCUGUCGUUCGGGGAGCCCGGGAAGGGGGCUGUGUGCAUACACACGGGGAUGGAUGACCUUCCAUCCCUGGGCAAGUCUUGAUUCAGUAAUUGGACCCAUGGUGCAUGUAUUUCUCAGUUCCCUCCACGUAGCAUCAAUGAGUUUUGUUCGACAGUGGGAACGACCACCUCAUCCAUCCAUCCAUCCGGCAGUGAUGUGUUGAGUAGGGUUACCCAGCCAAGCUCUGGGCAAACACUGGAUGGAGCUGAAAGUUGAGUGGCACAGAGCUCUUGUCCUAAAGGAGCUUGCUGUCUAGGGUGGGAUUAGGACUCAAAGAUAUCAGGUCUUAAUGCCUAGAAACUGGGGAUGGUACCAGACGUGAUAAGAGGCACUUUUGACGGGAAAGAGUGGGCUCUGCAAAGGCGGGUCUGUGUCCGAUAAGACCCAGUUGAAGCUUCCUCCUUCUCGACUCCCACUGGAUUUUGAGGGUGCCUGUAUGGAAAAUACCUCUCAUCUUGGCUAUUAGGAAAUACAACCGUAGCAGGUGCACCGGGCUCCCUCCAAGGCUGGACAGGUUGGGAAGCUGAUUACGAGCUCCUCAGGGGACCCAUGGGUCCGGGAGGUAGCACCCUGCCCAUUUCCCAUGUGGGCUCUUCCUUGGGAAGUGUCAAGUCUCGCAUUUGUUAAGCACCCUCGUUAAGCCUUUUGGUCUCUGUGUUUCCGACUCUUCAUCCAUCAAAUAAUGCUCCUAACAUGUGCCCUGUCUACAACCGGGUUUGCCGAGUGGACAGCAAGACGGUAUGCGUUCUGUUUGAAGGAUGCUUAGGGGUAAAUCCCUGCCAGGCAUGGUUCUCCAUCCAAGCUCCGUAGUCACUGAAUUUGUCGUUUAACCGGAGAAAUGAGUUGGAGUUGUAUUUUCUGUCGUCUGGGUACCAGUAUCCUAGGGGUUUGAUCUAAAUCCGUAGCUUGUUUACCGACGGCCACAAAAACACAAACACGAUCCCAGACAUAAGGACAUCCUGGGUUUCUGCAUGUGUGAUGGGGGAGCAUCUGUACGUAGUAAAAAGCUUGAGAAUUUUUCGGUCUCUGGGGCUCUCUUCAGUGAAGCGUUUUCUGAAGUUCACAGUCUUUUAGCGAUCUUUGCGUUUAUUGCUAGCUUAGAACUUCUGGUGAUACUGCCUACAUCUGUUCCUUCCCUUUUUUUCCCUUCAUUCUUUGCCUUCAUUCUGGGAUGUCAUGUCGGGCUUCCUGAGUUAAUGCCUGUCCCUUAUGUUUUACUUUUCAUAUUUCUGGUCGCAGGGUCCUCAUUUUUGUCUGUCCCUUGGGCUGCAUCUCAUAGAUACAUAGUUCAGUCCUUAUUUUCAUGGUUCCUCUUUACCCCAUGGGUUACUUGAAUGGGUAUUUAAAAAUCCCCAAGUAUAUAGAAUUAAAAAUAAUCCUUUUACUGUCAUGGGUCCAGGAAUGCAUUAAAAAGCACGUCUGUUCUAAUUCACCCAGAACCUAUUGUUCUGUCCUUCAAAGACCCUGCGGGACUUCUGGCCUACCGUGGUACCAGAUGUGUAGAUACAAUAAAACAUUUUCAUUUAAAAUAUCCUGGAAAGGAAAAAACAGCAUGGGAACUAAGAGGAACACUUUUUUAAGGGAGGAAUAUUUAGUUUUCUGGCUUUAUUGAGGUAUCAGUGACAAAUAGAAAUUGUAUCUCUUUAAGGUGGACAACAUGUUCUGAUUUGCAGCUGCAGUGUGAAAUGUCUAUUGCCAACUGCAUCAUUUGGUCAAACGUUUACCCUCCAGGAUCCCGGUGUCCCAUUCUGUUCAAUGGGUCUUUUAUGGUUACAAGACUCAAAUAAGAGGAUGGAUCUAAAAGCGUUUUAAGGCUGCAAAUACGUUUCCUAUAUGAGUCAUGUCGCCGCUGUGGGUUUGGUGCAAAUCACGUGGACCUAAUGAUCUGGACUCCUUUCCUGAUAUCCUGGUGCUUCUAAGUAGUGGCUGUUUUCUCCGGGGUGCAGGGAAAGGUGGGGAGGGGCACCCUGAGUGGACCUCACACUAGCAUUUGGCAGGAGGAGGCCAGCGUGUUAGAUUUCUUACAAGGCACAGGACAGGGUACCCAGUGUCAGAUGUUCUCACACCUCACAUGACUUCUUCACAUCUGGCCAGACGUUCACAUAGGGGAAACCCUGUUUAUAGUUAACCGCAGCCUAGAACUCACGGCUGUUUACACAUCCGUGCAAGAGAUUGAAUUUCCAGGCAAGCAACCAUUGCAUUCAUAGAGAGAAGAUUAUCCUUGGCUUGAAUGUUCAGCAUUUGGGGAAAGCGUAGGGCAGGCGGCAGCUCGUGGCAUUUGAGUGACCAGUUCUCUAGGCCUGGGGCAGCCGGCACCAUCUUGGGGAUCCAACAUACGAAGACAUCCCCUUACUGCUUCACCCUCUCUGGGGGCGGGGCGGGGGAGGUCCAAGCACUGCUAUGUUCAAAUGGGUAUCACUUUAUGGUCACUUGUGUUGUGUGGACACCAUGUGGCUCUUAUUACAUUUGUCUGUAGGUAUCUGUGAUUUUGUUUUAGGAAAGUAAAGGGACAUUAAAAAUGGGUGAACCUCCAUCCCCAGGGUGGAAUAUUAUUUGGCUAUGAAAAAGGAAUGAAGUAUUGAUACAUGGUGUAUCGUGGGUGAGCCCUGGAAGCAUCCUAAGUGAAAGACUCCAGGCACAAAAGGCUACGUCGUAUAUGAUUCCAUUUCUACAAAAUACCCACAAGUGAAAGACUCCAGGCACAAAAGGCUACAUCGUAUAUGAUUCCAUUUCUACAAAAUACCCACAAGUGAAAGACUCCAGGCACAAAAGGCUACAUCGUAUAUGAUUCCAUUU